rnacentral:rRNA from 1 species
ACGGCCGUACCAUGCUGAAUAUACCGGUUCUCGUUAGAUCACCGAAGUUAAAGCAUCAUUGGGCGCGGUCAGUACUUGGGUGGGUGACCACCUGGGAACACUGCGUGCCGUU